UUGCUAGGUCUAGAAAGACGAAGUUGCUGUAUUCAAGUAUGUAUUCCUAAAAGGUAUACUAAUCUUUAUGCGCAUGACAAGGUGUUCAAAGUCAUUCUAGGGGUGGUCUGCUCUAAGGAUAUGCUAGCUUCGUCCUGAAGGUGGGGAGGGGGAGAAAUGGAGGGAGCUGGACCACAGUGGGUAGUUUCGUCUACCCAAGAGGGGAAAAGGUAGCCCCUCCCAUUAUUCCCUUGCGGAGCCGGAAACCCUGCUGCCCUGGCUCUAUCCGUGCAGCAUCCUGAGCUGUUCUUCUUCUCCCAGCCAUCCUGCUGGCCUCCCAGGAGCUGACCCUCAGCAAGCGUCUGAAGAAAAUGCUGGAGGUGGUCCUAGCCAUCGGCAACUUCAUGAACAAGGGUCAGCGUGGGGGUGCCUAUGGGUUCCGGGUAGCCAGCCUCAACAAGAUUGCUGACACCAAGUCUAGCAUUGACAGGAACAUCUCUCUACUUCAUUACCUGAUCAUGAUCCUGGAGAAGCACUUCCCGGAUAUCCUGAACAUGCCCUCAGAGCUGCUGCAUCUAUCCAAGGCCGCCAAGGUCAAGUAAGCAGUACCCCCAACCUUUCCUUCACAGAGCCCACACCCUCUGGCUUCCCCUGUCUGAGGGGACACUAGGAAUGGGUAGUGUCUCAGGGUAUUCUUUUAGGAGAACCAGGGUUUUCUCUCUGGGGUGCAAAUCACUUUAUUUCAUAAGUGAUUCUGGAAAUACCAAGAGAAUGGAGGAGUAAACCGUGCACAGAAAGAAUGCCAUUAACCAGAAGCAUUAAUUGAGA
rnacentral:lncRNA from 1 species